rnacentral:rRNA from 1 species
AUUGAACGCUGGCGGCAGGCCUAACACAUGCCCGUCGAACGAUUGGCGGACGGGUGAGUAAUGUCUGGGAAACUGCCUGAUGGAGGGGGAUAACUACUGGAAACGGUAGCUAAUACCGCAUACCCUCGGAUGUGCCCAUAUGGGAUUAGCUAGUAGGUGGGGUAAAGGCUCACCUAGGCGACGAUCCCUAGCUGGUCUGAGAGGAUGACCAGCCACACUGGAACUGAGACAAGGUCCAGACUCCGACGGGAGGCAGCAGUGGGGAAUAUGGCACAAGGGGCGCAAUCCUGAUGCAGCCAUGCCGCGUGUAUGAAGAAGGCCUUCGGGUUGUAAAGCACUUUCAGCGGGGAGGCGUUACCCGCAGAAGAAGCACCGGCUAACUCCGUGCCAGCAGCCGCGGUAAUUC